AUUGAACGCUGGCGGCAUGCUUUACACAUGCAAGUCGAACGGCAGCGCGGGCUUUGGCCUGGCGGCGAGUGGCGAACGGGUGAGUAAUACAUCGGAACGUGCCCAGUAGUGGGGGAUAGCUCGGCGAAAGCCGGAUUAAUACCGCAUACGACCUGAGGGUGAAAGCGGGGGAUCUUCGGACCUCGCGCUAUUGGAGCGGCCGAUGGCAGAUUAGCUAGUUGGUGGGGUAAAGGCCUACCAAGGCGACGAUCUGUAGCUGGUCUGAGAGGACGACCAGCCACAUUGGGACUGAGCCACGGCCCAGACUCCUACGGGAGGCAGCAGUGGGGAAUUUUGGACAAUGGGCGAAAGCCUGAUCCAGCAAUGCCGCGUGUGUGAUGAAGGCCUUCGGGUUGUAAAGCACUUUUGGCGGGAACGAAAAGGACUGUGCCAAUACCACGGUUCGAUGACGGUACCCGAAGAAUAAGCACCGGCUAACUACGUG
rnacentral:rRNA from 1 species